GACCGCGUAGCUCAGGUGGAAGAGCAUUGGGCUAGUAUUCUGUAUUCCAAAGGUCGUAGGUUCGAAUCCCACCGUGGCCG
rnacentral:tRNA from 1 species